AUCGUUUUGUCCAUAUUUAGUAGUUGCGACUCUUUUUUCGUUUCGCCCCCUGCUUCCAGAGACUAGUGACGAUGUUUGGAUGUGGCUCGACUGGAGUAUGCCUUGUUUAAUUAUGAUUAAUGCUAUGGUAAACCCUUUCUUUUAUCUCUGGAGACUACCAAAGUACAAGAAAACGUUUAAGAAACUUUACUGUAAAUGUUUGAAGUAAUAUUGACUUCAUUUACCAUGCUAUAUUUCAGUUUUAACUUGUGAAAUUUGCAUUUUAAUUACAGUGUAGUUUUUCCCACUUAAAUUAACCGCUCAAAGAGACGGAAUUUUUUACUCAAGUGAGUGUGUACUUGCAUGUUUAGACUGAAUUUUAU